rnacentral:lncRNA from 1 species
AUGGUUCAGCGAGAGGAUCACGUUCCUCUAGGUACUACCGACGGACGUGAUACCGACCUAUCGCUCGACGAGGAUCCUUACGCUUGGAUACCACGUUAGCCGUAUAUCAUUGCAGUACUGUUGCUCGGUGUACGAGUGUGAGCCAUAGUGACCGCACCUGCUUCCGCCAUCACCUUCUGUAGGUUACCUGGUUAACCUACUGUAUUCCUUGUCUAUUUAUAUUCCUAGAAUGCUCUGAUUACUAAGGGAUAUGUGACCCAACUUAUAUGUAUUAUAUUUGGGGUCUAUGACCUAACUUUG